rnacentral:lncRNA from 1 species
GCGCAGCCCGCGGGGGCCACGGUGCAGGAGCAGCUGCGGCAGCUCUUUGAGCGGGACUGGAGUUCGCGCUACGCCGUCGGCCUGGACGGACAGGCUCCGGGCCAGGACUGCGUUUGGCAGGGCUGAGGGGGGCCUCUUUUUCUCUCGGCGACCCCGCCCCGCACGCGCCCUCCCCUCUGACCCCGGCCUGGGCUUCAGCCGCUUCCUCCCGCAAGCAGCCCGGGUCCGCACUGCGCCAGGAGCCGCCUGCGACCGCCCGGGCGUCGCAAACCGCCCGCCUGCUCUCUGAUUUCCGAGUCCAGCCCCCCCUGAGCCCCACCUCCUCCAGGGAGCCCUCCAGGAAGCCCCUUCCCUGACUCCUGGCCCACAGGCCAGGCCUAAAAAAAACUCGUGGCUUC